rnacentral:rRNA from 1 species
GAUUAUGGCUCAGGACGAACGCUGGCGGCACGCUUAACACAUGCAAGUCGAACGGAGUUAUUUGGAGCUUGCUCUGAAUAACUUAGUGGCGGACGGGUGAGUAACACGUGAGCAACCUGCCUUUGAGAGUGGAAUAGCUUCUGGAAACGGAUGGUAAUACCGCAUAACAUUACCGGACCGCAUGAUCUGGUAAUCAAAAGAUUUAUCGCUCAAAGAUGGGCUCGCGCCUGAUUAGAUAGUUGGUGGGGUAACGGCCUACCAAGUCGACGAUCAGUAGCCGGACUGAGAGGUUGGACGGCCACAUUGGGACUGAGACACGGCCCAGACUCCUACGGGAGGCAGCAGUGGGGAAUAUUGCACAAUGGGCGGAAGCCUUGAUGCAGCGAUGCCGCGUGGAGGAAGAAGGUUUUCGGAUUGUAAACUCCUUAUCUGAGGGACGAUAAUGACGGUACCUCAGGAGAAAGCUCCGGCUAACUACGUGCCAGCCGCCGC